rnacentral:rRNA from 1 species
UGGGGAAUCUUUGACAAUGGGCGCAAGCCUGAUGACGCAACGCCGCGUGGGGGAUGAAGGUCUUCGGAUCGUAAACCCCUGUCGAAUGGGACGAAAGACUCGCGAGUGAAUACUUCGCGAGAGUGACGGUACCGUUAAAGGAAGCCACGGCUAACUCUGUGCCAGCAGCCGCGGUAAUACAGAGGUGGCAAGCGUUGUUCGGAAUUACUGGGCGUAAAGGGCGCGUAGGCGGCCCUCUAAGUCAGACGUGAAAUCCCCCGGCUUAACCUGGGAACUGCGUCUGAUACUGGAGGGCUUGAGUAUGGGAGAGGGAUGUAGAAUUCCAGGUGUAGCGGUGAAAUGCGUAGAUAUCUGGAGGAAUACCGGUGGCGAAGGCGGCAUCCUGGACCAUUACUGACGCUGAGGCGCGAAAGCUAGGGGAGCAAACGGGAUUAGAUACCCAAGUAGUCCCUGAGCGGGCUGGCAAGGCGCAU